UGAGGAAUAUUGGUCAAUGGGGGCAACCCUGAACCAGCCAAGUCGCGUGAAGGAUGAAGGUCUUAUGGAUUGUAAACUUCUUUUACACGGGAAUAAAGUGGGGGACGUGUCCCCCUUUGCAUGUACCGUGUGAAUAAGGAUCGGCUAACUCCGUGCCAGCAGCCGCGGUAAUACGGAGGAUCCGAGCGUGAUCCGGAUUUAUUGGGUUUAAAGGGUGCGCAGGCGGGAUGUUAAGUCGGCGGUGAAAUUUUGCAGCUCAACUGUAAAAGUGCCUUCGAUACUGGCCUCCUUGAGUGUGGAUGAAGUAGGCUGAAUUUGUGGUGUAGCGGUGAAAUGCUUAGAUAUCACGAGGAACUCCGAUUGCGCAGGCAGCUUACUAGGCCACAACUGACGCUCAUGCACGAAGGCGUGGGGAUCAAACA
rnacentral:rRNA from 1 species